GAUGAACGCUAGCGGCAGGCUUAAUACAUGCAAGUCGUGGGGCAGCAUGAGUAGCAAUACUUGAUGGCGACCGGCAAACGGGUGAGGAACACGUACACAACCUUCCUUCAAGCGGGGAAUAGCCCAGAGAAAUUUGGAUUAAUACCCCAUAAUAUAUUUGAUAAGGCAUCUUAUUAAUAUUAAAGCUUCGGCACUUGAUGAUGGGUGUGCGGCUGAUUAGAUAGUUGGCGGGGUAACGGCCCACCAAGUCUACGAUCAGUAGCUGAUGUGAGAGCAUGAUCAGCCACACGGGCACUGAGACACGGGCCCGACUCCUACGGGAGGCAGCAGUAAGGAAUAUUGGACAAUGGACGAAAGUCUGAUCCAGCCAUGCCGCGUGAAGGAUUAAGGUCCUCUGGAUUGUAAACUUCUUUUAUAUGGGACGAAAAAAGGGCAUUCUUGUUCACUUGACGGUACCAUAUGAAUAAGCACCGGCUAACUCCGUGCCAGCA
rnacentral:rRNA from 1 species